UGUGAUUCCAUAUCACACAUAUGGUUGAAAAAGUCCAUGAUAGGCAGUGCACAAGAGGUCUUGGCAUUUGAGUUUGGAAGAACAGUUUGUCCGCAGCUCGUGGUCGUGCAGUAGCGCUCUCGCUUCCCACGCCCGGGUUCGAUUCCUGGCGGGGUCAGGGAUUUUCUCUGCCUCGUGAUGACUGGGUGUUGUGUGAUGUCCUUAGGGAGCACUAAAGGCCAAAGUAGCACAACAAACCCACACAUGUUACAGGAAUUCAAGGAUAAUAUCCAUGAGUCAGUUCAUUCACUUUCUCAAAGAGAAGUACAUUGUGUGACAAAUAAUUUCUUCAGUAGAUGUGAGGAAUGUGUGGAAAAAAAAUGGCAUGUACUUCCAGCAUCUCAAUGCAUGAAAUAGACAGAAGAUAGGAAUGAAGUGCCAACCUGUUCUAAACUGGGAGUGCAGUCUGUAGCAAAUUAUGUGGAGAGUUUGUGUAGCAACAGUAGUAAUACAAGGUGUCCAACAAAGGACUUGCUAACAUUAGAAUUAAAUAGCAUGAAAAUAGUAGAACAGACAUUAUGUUUAUUGUGAAAGCAGUAAGAACUUUAUACAGAAGCUUUGAAAUAAUAGUUACAAAAC